GCAGUCGANCGCGAAAGCCCUUCGGGGUGAGUAGAGUGGCGAACGGGUGAGUAACACGUGGGUAACUUGCCCCUCGCAGGGGGAUAACCGAGGGAAACCUCGGCUAAUAGCCCGUACGCUCGUUGGGCCGCAUGGCCCUUCGAGGAAAGGUAGCUUCGGCCAUCCGGCGAGGGAUGGGCCCGCGAUACAUUAGCUAGUUGGUGGGGUAACGGCCCACCAAGGCGACGAUGUAUAGCUGGUCUGAGAGGAUGAUCAGCCACACUGGGACUGAGACACGGCCCAGACUCCUACGGGAGGCAGCAGUCGGGAGUCUUGGGCAAUGGGCGAAAGCCUGACGCAGCAACGUCGUGUGGGCGAUGAAGGCCUUCGGGUCGUAAAGCCCUGUUGUUGGGGACGAAGGGCUCUCGGGGUUAAUAGCCCCGAAGCCUGACGGUACCCUCCGAGGAAGCCCCGGCUAACUACGUGCCAGCAGCCGCGGUAAUACGUAGGGGGCGAGCGUUGUCCGGAAUCAUUGGGCGUAAAGAGCGUGUAGGCGGUCCGAUAAGUCCGUCGUGAAAACCCGGGGCUCAACCCUGGGCUUGCGGUGGAUACUGUCGGGCUAGAGGAUGGUAGANGGGAGUGGAAUUCCCGGUGUAGCGGUGAAAUGCGCAGAUAUCGGGAGGAACACCAGUAGCGAANGCGGCUCCCUGGGCCAUUCCUGACGCUGAGACGCGAAAGCUAGGGGAGCGAACAGGAUUAGAUACCCUGGUAGUCCUAGCCGUAAACGAUGAACACUNNNUGUGGGGGGAGUCGAAUCCCNCUGUGCCNCAGCCCAACGCGAU
rnacentral:rRNA from 1 species